rfam:Lupinus angustifolius cultivar Tanjil contig_43042, whole genome shotgun sequence.
GAGAGUAGUACUAGGAUGGGUGACCUCCUGGGAAGUCCUCGUGUUGCACCUC